UACGUAGGUGGCGAGCGUUAUCCGGAUUCACUGGGUGUAAAGGGAGCGUAGACGGCCAUGCAAGCCAGGGGUGAAAGCCCGGGGCCCAACCCCGGGACUGCCCUUGGAACUGCAUGGCUGGAGUGCGGGAGGGGCAGGCGGAAUUCCUGGUGUAGCGGUGAAAUGCGUAGAUAUCAGGAGGAACACCGGCGGCGAAGGCGGCCUGCUGGACCGCGACUGACGUUGAGGCUCGAAAGCGUGGGGAGCGAACAGG
rnacentral:rRNA from 1 species